GCGUGGAUGAAGAAGGCCCUAGGGUUGUAAAAUCCUUUCGCCAGGGAUGAUAAUGACAGUACCUGGUAAAGAAGCCCCGGCUAAUUUCGUGCCAGCAGCCGCGGUAAUACGAAAGGGGCUAGCGUUGUUCGGAAUUACUGGGCGUAAAGCGCGCGUAGGCGGCCUGCCAAGUUAGAGGUGAAAUCCCAGGGCUCAACCCUGGAACUGCCUUUAAAACUGGCAAGCUAGAGGAUGUGAGAGGAGUGUGGAAUUCCGAGUGUAGAGGUGAAAUUCGU
rnacentral:rRNA from 1 species